AUAAAUCUUCCGUAUAUAUUCUUCUCAGUAAUCUUAGCUCAGCUCGGCUCGACGAGGAUCUUCAGGUGUGUGUGUGUGUGUGUGUGAGAACAGAGAAAGCUUCACCAUGAUUAAAGUCGCAGCCAUGUGUCUGAUGCUGUUCGGGGCAGUCAUGCUUCUCUCCACACAGGUUGAUGCUCAACAGAAUGCCACAACCCCAACACCUGAUACUACGACUACUAAUACUACUACGGCUGCUGCUGCCACUAAUAAUACUGCUGUUAUUAAUACUAAUUCUACUGCUAAUACUACUAAUAAUACUAACACUGCUACUACUUCUAAUGCUACUUCUACUACUACUACUACUAUCACUAAUGUUACUGCUUCUAUUACCAAAGAGACUGCUACUAUUAUUACUACUGCUGCUGCUGCUGCUACUUCUACUACACACAGUGCAGCUUCCUCCUCAGGUGCAGGAUGUAUGGUGCUGCCCAGCAUCCUCAGCAUCAUCCUCCCCACCGGCCUGCUCGUGAGUUUGUUUCACAAUCUCCACUGCUGACCCUGUCAUGUUGGCAAGAAUUGUGUAAAGAUGAACGGAGCCACAUAGAAAGAGCUUUCUAAAUUCUUCUUCAGAUCGAGAUGAAUUGCUAUGACCUACCUAAGAUCUUCUUUUAAUGGAUAAAUGCUUUAACGCUUGGAGAUGCUUGAGUCUAAGGAUCUACACAAUGAAACUAUUUUGGAAAUAUUUUAUCCCUAAAAUUAUCAGCUCCUCUGGUGCCCAGGACAUCAAACUGCACUGGUUGAGGCGAAUCAAGGACUGAACUGUUCAUGCUGCAUUCCUGCAAAUUGCAUCAAAUGCUAUUUUAAACAAUAAUGUUAAGUAUAUAUUGUUUUUGUAUUGAUCUUUAAUUUUUCAUAUAAUUCACAAGUGUCCACAUUGGUUUUGCCUUUUGUGCAUUCUGUUGUGCAUUUUUUUUUCAGUUCCUCUUUUCAGUGGUUUGUGACACAGUGUCCUGUCAUUUAACUUCAUCAAGACAUUCACAUUCACCCAUACUCACUCAUCGUCUAUACCGCCUUAUCCUAUGUACAGAGUCACACUGGGCCUGGAGCUUUUUUCCAGGGGGCUUAGGGCAUGAUGCCGGGCACAACCUGGACUUGGGGCAGUCCAUCCCAAGGUGCACACACACACACACACACACACACACACACACACACACACACACUGCAAGCAAUUUGAGAACACCAAUUAACCUAACCUGCAUGUCUUUGGACUGUGGGAGGAAACCGGAGCACCCAGAGGAAUCCCACCAAGAACAAGGAGAACAGAAACACAUGAACACAGUCCCGAGGCGGGAGCAAUAAAUACUCUCCAAUAUAUACAGUAUAUACAGUAUAUCCAUCCAGAUAUUUACUGCUCAUUUCUGCCAUUACCUUAACAACGUAGCACACACAAGGUGGCGCUGUUACCAAGGCAACGUGUUUUAGAUGUGCUACACUUUAACAAUAUGGUGUAACGCUCUCCAAAUCUAUACACAACUCACUAUACAUAUAUUAUUAUCAGUGUAAGUAAAAUUAAUUAUCAGUGUAAAUAAAAGUCUAUUCUCAAUUGCA